ACCGGGAAUGCAUUGAGAAAGGAAGUGAUGCUCAGAGCUCCUGCACAAAACCAGAGUUGGAGAAUGAAGAAGAGAAUGCAGAAAAUUUACCGGAAUCUGUUCAACCAAAUAGGGAAGCUUCUCUUCCAAAUGCUGCAGAUUUGGUGAAGGAACUACUUCAUGAAGCAAAUAAUAGAUUGAGAAUUUCCGAGAAUGAUGGAAGAGCUCCUACAACAGAUGCAAAUGCAAUGACCAGGGGAGAAGACAUAAAUUCUGAUGAUAACUGGGGUCAUGGUCGUACAAUUGG
rnacentral:misc_RNA from 1 species